rnacentral:rRNA from 1 species
CUACGUGCCAGCAGCCGCGGUAAUACGUAGGGUGCGAGCGUUAAUCGGAAUUACUGGGCGUAAAGCGAGCGCAGACGGUUACUUAAGCAGGAUGUGAAAUCCCCGGGCUUGACCUGGGAACUGCGUUCUGAACUGGGUAGCUAGAGUAUGUCAGAGGGGGGUAGAAUUCCACGUGUAGCAGUGAAAUGCGUAGAGAUGUGGAGGAAUACCGAUGGCGAAGGCAGCCUCCUGGGAUAACACUGACGUUCAUGCUCGAAAGCGUGGGUAGCAAACAGGAUUAGAUACCCUGGUAGUCCACGCCCUAAACGAUGUCAAUUAGCUGUUGGGCAACUUGAUUGCUUAGUAGCGUAGCUAACGCGUGAAAUUGACCGCCUGGGGAGUACGGUCGCAAGAUUAAAACUCAAAGGAAUUGACGGGGACCCGCACAAGCGGUGGAUGAUGUGGAUUAAUUCGAUGCAACGCGAAGAACCUUACCUGGUCUUGACAU